GAUGAACGCUGGCGGCGUGCCUAAUACAUGCAAGUCGAGCGAACAGAUGAGGAGCUUGCUCCUCUGACGUUAGCGGCGGACGGGUGAGUAACACGUGUAUCACCUACCUAUCAGACGGGGAUAACUUCGGGAAACCGGAGCUAAUACCGUAUAAUAUAUUGAACCGCAUGGUUCAAUAGUGAAAUACGGUUGUUCUGUCUCUUAUAGCUGCAUCUGCGCCGCAUUAGCUGGUUGUUAAGGUAACGGCUUACCACGGCAACGAUGCGUAGACGACCUGAGAGGCUGGUCGGCCACACUGGAGCGGAACCGCGGUCAAUACUACUGCGGGACGCACCAGUAUGGAACGUGACGCAGUGGGCGAGAGCCUGACGGAGCGAGGCGGCGUGAGUGAUGACGGUCUUGGGAUCGUAAAACUCUGUUAUUAGGGAAAAACAAAUGUGUAAGGAACUAUGCACGUCUUGACGGUAACUAGUCAGAAAGCAACGGCUAACUACGUG
rnacentral:rRNA from 1 species